AAAGAUUAAGCCAUGCAUGUCUAAGUAUAAAUAGUAUACAGUGAAACUGCGAAUGGCUCAUUAAAACAGUUAUAGUUUAUUUGAUAAUGGAACUUUACAUGGAUAACCGUGGUAAUUCUAGAGCUAAUACAUGCUAUAUGCCCGGCUUCUGGCAGGGCUGUAUUUAUUAGAUACUAAACCAGUGUCGCAAGACAUUGUGGUGAAUCACAGUAACUGAUCGAACCGGCGCGCAAGCGGCGAUAAAUCAUUCAAGUUUCUGCCCUAUCAGCUUUCGAUGGUAGUGUAUUGGACUACCAUGGCAGUCACGGGUAACGGAGAAUUAGGGUUCGGUUCCGGAGAGGGAGCCUGAGAAACGGCUACCACAUCUAAGGAAGGCAGCAGGCGCGUAAAUUACCCAAUCCUGAUUCAGGGAGGUGGUGACAAGAAAUAACAACCUGGGGGCUUCAAGCCUUGCGGGAUUGCAAUGAGAACAAUACAGAUCACUUAGCGAGAAACAAUUGGAGGGCAAGUCUGGUGCCAGCGGCCGCGGUAAUUCCAGCUCCAAUAGCGUAUAUUAAAGUUGUUGCAGUUAAAAGCUCGUAGUUGGAUGUCUGAUCAGCGUGUAUUUCGGCUCUCGUCGUGUACACGUUGGUCAUCCGCAUAUGAAUCCAGUGAGGCAUUCAUUUGUUUGACUGGGGGAGUGUGCAAUUUACUUUGAAAAAAUUAGAGUGUUUCAGGCAGGCAAUGGCUUGAAUACAUUAGCAUGGAAUAAUGGAAUAGGACUAGAGUCAAUUUUAUUGGUUAUUUGACUUUAGUAAUGAUUAAUAGGGACAGUUGGGGGCAUUAGUAUUUAGUUGUCAGAGGUGAAAUUCUUGGAUUUAUUAAAGACUAACUUAUGCGAAAGCAUUUGCCAAGGAUGUUUUCAUUAAUCAAGAACGAAAGUUAGGGGAUCAAAGACGAUCAGAUACCGUCCUAGUCUUAACUAUAAACUAUACCGACUCGGGAUCGGGUGGGAUGUUCAAGCCUGCUCGGCACCGUAAGAGAAAUCAAAGUCUUUGGGUUCUGGGGGGAGUAUGGUCGCAAGGCUGAAACUUAAAGGAAUUGACGGAAGGGCACCACCAGGAGUGGAGCCUGCGGCUUAAUUUGACUCAACACGGGGAAACUUACCAGGUCAAAACAUGGGUGGGAUUGACAGAUUGAGAGCUCUUUCUUGAUUCUGUGGGUGGUGGUGCAUGGCCGUUCUUAGUUGGUGGAGUGAUUUGUCUGGUUAAUUCCGUUAACGAACGAGACCUUAACCUGCUAAAUAGUUGCGCUAAAUCAAGCGUUAACUUCUUAGAGGGACUUCGUGUAUCAAGCAUGAGGAAGUUUGAGGCAAUAACAGGUCUGUGAUGCCCUUAGAUGUCCUGGGCCGCACGCGCGCUACAAUGACACGUGCAGCGAGUAUUUCCUUGCCUGAAAAGGUCGGGUAAACUUCAUAAUGCGUGUCGCGAUAGGGAUAGACCUUUGCAAUUAUAGGUCUUGAACGAGGAAUUCCUAGUAAGUGCAAGUCAUCAGCUUGUACUGAUUACGUCCCUGCCCUUUGUACACACCGCUCGUCGCUCCUACCGAUUCGAGUGAUCCGGUGAACCUUCUGGAUUGGUUAAUGCCUCGUGUAUUGAUCGAGAAGUUAAGUAAACCUUAUCACUUAGAGGAAGGAGAAGUCGUAACAAGGUUUCCGUAGGUGAACCUGCGGAAGGAUCAUUAUCAACAUAUUUACAACCUAAUCUUAGUUGGAAAAGUGGUGGACUUCCCAGUGAUGAUAGCAAUAUCGUCGCUGGGGGUACACCAAAUUUCUUAAACCUUAUUCCUAGCUUUAGCAUAAAAACUAAGCCAGAAAUAUAAAAAUUGAAAAAUUUUCAACGGUGGAUAUCUAGGUUCCCGUAACGAUGAAGAACGCAGCGAAAUGCGAUACGCAAUGCGAAUUGCAGAAUCCGCGAGUCAUCAGAUCUUUGAACGCAAGUGGCACCGAUCAUAUCGGUAUGUUUGUUUCAGUGUGGAAGGAAUCACAAAUCUAAAUGCGAUUGAUAGCUCGGGGUUCCUGCAUGUGGCAACACUGUAGGGGUUCUUGAAACAUCUCUCGUUAAACACGACCGGUUCUGUGAGAAUUCACGGGACGCUCGCGCAACGAAGUAGUCUCAUUAUUGAGAUCUCGGGGCGAGUAUCAGAGCGGAAAAACCUGAGUUUUCGAUAAAAACACAGUUAACCAAUCACUAUGAAAAAUUAAAACUUUCUAUCACCACCUGAAAUCAAGCAAGACGACCCGCUGAACUUAA
rnacentral:rRNA from 1 species